AUCCCACAUAUUAACAAUGUAAAUCACGAGUCAAGAGUUUUUUAUUUUCUCACGUCCCAGUUAGAACAAUUAAAUCCUUACUUGCAGCAGCACAACAGAAUAUGUAAACAUAGUACUCUGUAAACAAUAUAAUAAAGGAGAGAU